rnacentral:rRNA from 1 species
CACCCUACGGGAGGCAGCAGUGGGGAAUAUUGCACAAUGGGGGAAACCCUGAUGCAGCGACGCCGCGUGAGUGAAGAAGUAUCUCGGUACGUAAAGCUCUAUCAGCAGGGAAGAAAAAAAGUCUUUGGCUUUGGACGGUACCUGACUAAGAAGCCCCGGCUAACUACGUGCCAGCAGCCGCGGUAAUACGUAGGGGGCAAGCGUUAUCCGGAUUUACUGGGUGUAAAGGGAGCGUAGACGGCAGCGCAAGUCCGGAGUGAAAGCCCGGGGCCCAACCCCGGGACUGCUCUGGAAACUGUUAAGCU